AACUCGAGGGGAAUCGACCUCGAAAGCUUGCUUUUGAUGGGCGUCGACCGGCGCACGGGUGAGUAACGCGUAUCCAACCUGCCCACCACUUGGGGAUAACCUUGCGAAAGUAAGACUAAUACCCAAUGAUAUCUCUAGAAGACAUCUGAAAGAGAUUAAAGAUUUAUCGGUGAUGGAUGGGGAUGCGUCUGAUUAGCUUGUUGGCGGGGUAACGGCCCACCAAGGCAACGAUCAGUAGGGGUUCUGAGAGGAAGGUCCCCCACAUUGGAACUGAGACACGGUCCAAACUCCUACGGGAGGCAGCAGUGAGGAAUAUUGGUCAAUGGACGAGAGUCUGAACCAGCCAAGUAGCGUGCAGGAUGACGGCCCUAUGGGUUGUAAACUGCUUUUAUAAGGGAAUAAAGUGAGUCUCGUGAGACUUUUUGCAUGUACCUUAUGAAUAAGGACCGGCUAAUUCCGUGCCAGCAGCCGCGGUAAUACGGAAGGUCCGGGCGUUAUCCGGAUUUAUUGGGUUUAAAGGGAGCGUAGGCCGGAGAUUAAGCGUGUUGUGAAAUGUAGACGCUCAACGUCUGCACUGCAGCGCGAACUGGUUUCCUUGAGUACGCACAAAGUGGGCGGAAUUCGUGGUGUAGCGGUGAAAUGCUUAGAUAUCACGAAGAACUCCGAUUGCGAAGGCAGCUCACUGGAGCGCAACUGACGCUGAAGCUCGAAAGUGCGGGUAUCGAACAGG
rnacentral:rRNA from 2 species